UACGUAGGGGGCAAGCGUUUGUCCGGAAUUAUUGGGCGUAAAGGGCGCGUAGGCGGUCCGGCGCGUCCGGGGUGAAAGCCUCCAGCUCAACUGGAGAAGUGCCCCGGAUACGGCCGGACUCGAGUGGGGUGAGGGGCGUGUGGAACUUCCGGUGGAGCGGUGAAAUGCGUAGAUAUCGGAAGGAACGCCGGUGGCGAAAGCGGCACGCUGGACCCCUUCUGACGCUGAGGCGCGAAAGCCAGGGGAGCGAACGGG
rnacentral:rRNA from 1 species